rnacentral:rRNA from 1 species
GCAUAGCGACUAUCGUGGCAUAUCAAUAAGCGGAGGAAAAGAAACUAACAAGGAUUCCCUUAGUAACGGCGAGUGAAGCGGGAAGAGCUCAAAUUUGAAAUCUUCAAGGUUCUACCUUGACGAAUUGUAGUUUAAAGAAGCGUUUUCUGUUGGAGUUUUGGUAAAAGUUCUUUGGAAUAGGACAUCAUAGAGGGUGAGAAUCCCGUAUUCGACCAUUAUCUCCAGCUGUGUGAUACACUUUCAAAGAGUCGGAUUGUUUGGGAAUGCAGUCCAAAAUGGGUGGUAAAUUUCAUCUAAAGCUAAAUAUUGGCGAGAGACCGAUAGCGAACAAGUACCGUGAGGGAAAGAUGAAAAGAACUUUGAAAAGAGAGUUAAACAGUACGUGAAAUUGUCAAAAGGGAAGCGUUUGACACCAGUGUUGUUUUUCCGAAAAUCAAUUACGAAUGUUUUGUUUUUGAGGAGUUAUGACUUCAUCGGCUUGCUCCUUUCUUUACGAAACUUUCUUAAUGCACUUUUCGGUUAACAAGUCAACAUCAAUUUCUUUUGUUGUUAAAGGGUAUGAGGAAGGUGGCUUUCUUUUCGGAGAAAGUGUUUAUAGCCUUGUGCCUCUGCAAUCGGAGAGAUUGAGGUCUGCAGCGUAGAUCCUUCGGGGUUAGAUACGUUUGUGCUAAGUUAUAGCUUUUCAUAGACAACUUGUUGACUAUGUUUAGUCUUGUAGCUUACUCGCUUACGCUAUUUUACCUACGCUUAGGAUGUUGAUAGUCACAGCGUGUAC